rnacentral:rRNA from 1 species
AGCGAACGCUGGCGGCAGGCUUAACACAUGCAAGUCGAACGGGCGUAGCAAUACGUCAGUGGCAGACGGGUGAGUAACGCGUGGGAACGUACCUUUUGGUUCGGAACAACUGAGGGAAACUUCAGCUAAUACCGGAUAAGCCCUUACGGGGAAAGAUUUAUCGCCGAAAGAUGGGCCCGCGUCGGAUUAGCUAGUUGGUGAGGUAAUGGCUCACCAAGGCGACGAUCCGUAGCUGGUUUGAGAGGACGACCAGCCACACUGGGACUGAGACACGGCCCAGACUCCUACGGGAGGCUG